UGAUCCGUCAGGCGAACGGGCGGCCUACCAAUCGAGGCAGAUGGGAGUGCUCCCGAUGUUCGGCGGCGGUGAGUACAUGGGUACCGCCGAGGAUAUCGGAACCGGGUACGGUUUUAACCGCAUGUUCAACUAAAAGGUUCGGCGUUUGGGAGGAAGCUCCAGCGGGUGCGACCUAGAGGGUUCCCGGUGCCGCUCGGACCGUAGGAAUUCAAUGGAAAGCUGACGGAGCAACGCCGCUAUAGAAGGUUUUCGGAUGUAAAGCUCUGUUGUUAGGGAAGAACAAGUACCGUUCGAAUAGGGCGGACCUUGACGGUACCUAACCAGAAAGCCACGGCUAACUACGUGCCAGCAGCCGCGGUAAUACGUAGGUGGCAAGCGUUGUCCGGAAUUAUUGGGCGUAAAGGGCUCGCAGGCGGUUCCUUAAGUCUGAUGUGAAAGCCCCCGGCUCAACCGGGGAGUCAUUGGAAACUGGGGAACUUGAGUGCAGAAGAGGAGAGUGAUGAAAGCGUAGAGAUGUGGAGGAACACCAGUGGCGAAGGCGAC
rnacentral:rRNA from 1 species